GACGAACGCUGGCGGCGUGCUUAACACAUGCAAGUCGAGCGGUAAGGCCCCUUCGGGGGUACACGAGCGGCGAACGGGUGAGUAACACGUGAGCAAUCUGCCCAUCACAUCGGGAUAACUCCGGGAAACCGAAGCUAAUACCGAAUACGACCACCUCCGGCAUCGGAUGGUGGUGGAAAGUUCCGGCGGUGAUGGAUGAGCUCGCGGCCUAUCAGCUUGUUGGUGGGGUAACGGCCCACCAAGGCUUCGACGGGUAGCCGGCCUGAGAGGGUGACCGGCCACACUGGGACUGAGACACGGCCCAGACUCCUACGGGAGGCAGCAGUGGGGAAUAUUGGACAAUGGGCGAAAGCCUGAUCCAGCAACGCCGCGUGAGGGAUGACGGCCUUCGGGCUGUAAACCUCUUUCAGCAGGGACGAAGCGCAAGUGACGGUACCUGCAGAAGAAGCACCGGCCAACUACGUGCCAGCAGCCGCGGUAAGAC
rnacentral:rRNA from 1 species